UACGGGGGGGGCAAGCGUUGUUCGGAAUUACUGGGCGUAAAGGGCUCGUAGGCGGCCAACUAAGUCGGAUGUGAAAUCCCCAGGCUUAACCUGGGAACUGCAUCCGAUACUGGAUGGCUUGAAUCCGGGAGAGGGAUGCGGAAUUCCAGGUGUAGCGGUGAAAUGCGUAGAUAUCAGGAGGAACACCGGUGGCGAAGGCGGGUCUCUGGGCAGUAACUGACGCUGAGGAGCGAAAGCGUGGGGAGCGAACAGG
rnacentral:rRNA from 1 species